rnacentral:rRNA from 1 species
CCUACGGGUGGCAGCAGUGGGGAAUAUUGCGCAAUGGGCGAAAGCCUGACGCAGCGACGCCGCGUGCGGGAUGAAGGUCUUCGGAUCGUAAACCUCUGUCAGCAGGGAAGAACGGUCACUGUGCUAAUCAGCAGUGACUUGACGGUACCUGCAAAGGAAGCACCGGCUAACUCCGUGCCAGCAGCCGCGGUAAUACGGAGGGUGCGAGCGUUAAACGGAAUUACUGGGCGUAAAGCGCUCGUAGGCGGUAUGUCAAGUCAAGGGUGAAAUCCCCGCGCUCAACGUGGGAACUGCCUUUGAAACUGGCAAACUGGAGUGUGUGAGAGGAUAGUGGAAUUCCAGGUGUAGGAGGGAAAUCCGUAGAUAUCUGGAGGAACAUCAGUGGCGAAGGCGACUAUCUGGCACAUAACUGACGCUGAGGAGCGAAAGCGUGGGUAGCAAACAGGAUUAGAUACCCGGGUAGUC